AGGGUUUCUGUGGAAGGAACCCGGAAGCAGCUCAGUUUGGGUCGAUCCAGCAGAACAGCGCCGUCUUCACACAGCAAGCAACGCAUCGCUGAGCUCCGUCGGACAGCCGCUGUAGGUCAAGAUGUGCACAGAAGAGAAUCUUAUUGAUAUCUUGGAUGACCUGCCAGAUGACAAUUUCAACACCUUCGUUUGGCAUCUGAAGAAGGAAACCUGGAAUGGGAUCCAACCGAUCAAAAGCAGCCGGCUGCAGAAGGCGGACAGGAUGGACGUCGUGGACCUGAUGGUGCAGACGUACCAAAUGGAUGGAGCUGACAAGUCAUGAUGAAUAUGUUGAAGAAGAUCAACAGGAAUGACCUGGUGAAGAAGCUGGCAGAUCUGUGUCCUGCAGCUGCAGCUGCAGCUGCAGCUCAAGGUGCGUCUUCAAGCUCCCAGGCCGACCCGGUUGAGGUUCUGCUUUCGGUGAGAACAAAGCUUGUAGGAAAAUCUCCAAGCAGGUUCUGCAGCAGAUUCUGGACAAACUGCUGGAGAACAAGAUCAUGAACGACUGUGAGCUCGAGUUCGAUGUUCAGACCCAGGGGGAAAAAGUCCGGGCCGUGGUCGACAUGGUCCGUAAAAAGGGCCCCAAGGCCAGCUCGGCUUUCAUCGCCGCGCUGUGUGAGCUGGAUCCGUGUCUGGCAGAAGAUCUGAAGCUCAAGUAGAAGACAGCAGAGCCAGCCGGUUCCAGAGACCCAGACCCUCUGACCCAAACCUCUGAUAGUUAGAGUCUUUCAUCAGCUCCAGUAAGUUACAGAAACAUGUUUGAUCCUCUGGUUCGCAGAAACCAACAGGAAGUCCAAUCAGAACCACAUGAUGUCCUGAAACACACUGAAAAGGAAAGUUUCACAUUAAAUCACCAGAAACAUCUGAUGGUACCAGAACAUCUGAUGGUACCAGAAACAUCUGAUGGUACCAGAAACAUCUGAUGGUACCAUGCACAGAAACAGACGGACCCUUGAUCUGCCUCCAGUGCAGCUGGAUGAGAUCUGAUUGGAUGAAAUUCACCUGAAGACACUUCCUGAUUGGUUUGUCUCACUAGGACCAUUUCAUAUGAAACCAAACAUAAAACUUAAAAUAAAAAAUGUUUUUGCUGAACACAAUGUCAUCGAUGAGUUAACAGUCUGAUGAUGAAGAAGCCCGCCGGUUCUGUUGAUCCCGCCGGUUCUGUUGAUCCCGCCGGUUCUGUUGAUCCCGCCGGUUCUGUUGAUCCCGCCGGUUCUGUUGAUCCCGCCGGUUCUGUUGAUCCCGCGGGUCCGACAGGUCCAGCAUGCGAGUGUUCUGUCAUUGUCUCUGUAACUGCAGCUGAUCACUGAUUCUAAUAAAACAUUUGGACUCGGA